rnacentral:rRNA from 1 species
UACGUAGGGUGCGAGCGUUGUCCGGAAUUAUUGGGCGUAAAGGGCUCGUAGGCGGUCUGUCACGUCGGGAGUGAAAACUCAGGGCUUAACCCUGAGCCUGCUUCCGAUACGGGCAGACUAGAGGUAUGCAGGGGAGAACGGAAUUCCUGGUGUAGCGGUGAAAUGCGCAGAUAUCAGGAGGAACACCGGUGGCGAAGGCGGGUCUCUGGGCCGGUACUGACGCUGAGGAGCGAAAGCGUGGGGAGCGAAUAGG